UAUUCCCAGGAUAAACUAUUUUACACUCAAGUAAUCCAAUUGCUAUAAUAUAUUAAUGCUUUCUGGCAUGAUCCUACAGAUACAAAAAGAGCGGGUGAAUAUGCAUGGUCUUCUGAGUCGUCCGCAUCAAAUGCAUUCGAGUAGAAAAUUGGUGGAAGCGCUGACAUGUGUAUAGCAAUCUUUCCCAGAGGUUGAGCCUAGAUCCGCUGACAAGUGGCAACGAACAAACAGCGAUUUUAUCAACGGCCGAAGAGUAUCCAAGGUAGACUACUUCAAUUGGGACUCCUACAGCCACGACCAUCCAUCUCAGGCUCAGGCAAUACGGAGACUCCAGCGGAGCUUCGUAAACGCCUAGCGAUGACAAGUUUUUGUGGCUACCACUCCCCCUGUUUUCUUUUUGUGUUUUCUUUUCCUCCGUAUCUUCUGUUUCCAGAUUUUGUUGGGCUGUGGCUUUCCAUCCCAGUGAAUGUUCAGUUUUGAGCAAUCAGCGAUGGUGGCAAGCUGGGCGAUCUUUACUCGCAACAACAGGGCGAAUGACAACAGCGACGCAGAAACAGAGAAGAACAGAGCAGAGUAAUACCAUGGCUAUCUAAGGCCAAUUUGACGGUUACGGGAGGUGCCAAUGUAUGUGUGAGCAUUAUUGGGGAUAAAGGCAUGAUGACGAAGCACCACCGUGAAGUGAGUUGCCAGCGGAAGGCUCGAAUCAAGGAAAAACGCCAAGACAGGGAGUCCAUCUCUGCCAGGGCAGUUUUAGGCGAAACCAGCGCUUCCAUGGCACUCACUGAGGCGUGUUUCGAGCGUCUGGAGCUUCAGGAAUGGAUGAAUAAUGGUUUGAACGAGAAAAGCAAGCUCUUGAACGGAAAAACUAGAGGAUCCCAAAAUGAAGCCUCUAGGCCAAACUCGUCCGAGCCGUAACCAGCGAUCGCCUGAGGUCGAGUAGGAGUCGGCAACUGUGGUGACGUUGUUCUGGAAGCUCAGAUGGUGUUACAGUGAGGGAGCUCAGCGGAAUGGUGAGGUGACGGAGAAGAAUCAUGAGAGCUCCCUGAUGCCAGAGAGCGGACCAUUCGGACCUGUUGGCCUGUGAAGAGGAAUCCAUGCGUGGCGCAGGUGGAGCUCACUAGAAUAAGACUAGUCUAUAUUCCCAAGAAUAAACUAUUCUACACUCAA